UGGCAUGAAACCAUGUUAUUAUGACGAGAAUAAUUUGAGAAUUCCUAAAGAACUCGUCCAGAUAGAAAUCUUGAAUUAAUAUUUCAUAUUGGAUACUGAAUGGGUUGGAAAUGUCAUGUUUAUAUAAAUAAAGAACAGCUUUCAGAAUAUCCAUAAUAGACCGUGUACGAAGGCGUAAGGUAAAAGAAAAUUCAAGAUUAGUCCAUUCGAAACGCUGCAUUUUCACAAGCCUCUUUUUAAAAUGAUAAUGUUUUUUGCACCAUGUAAAAUCAC